AGAGGCAGCUUGAUGGACGAAGCGGCAGCUUCUGGUGCUACCGGCCUCACCAUCUCUCUCCUAAGCGCCCUCACUUCACUCCCCAGAUUGUCGUGCUGUUUUCCUUGGGGGGGGUGGUGCCUCGUCAUCAGUGUCCACACCUUGAAGCAUAUUUAACUCUAAAGGUCUGCACCUUCAAAAAAGUGUUGCGGCGGGCCCCUAGUGGUCUGGACUCUUCCAGCUGGCUCCUGCAGGGUCUUCAGCCUCUGACUGUAUGUCUGAUGUUAAACACAGUAAGGACUUUUUCAGCUAACCAAGACCCUCACGUCACCGUGCACGUCCCACGCUGCACCUGGAGGAAGGUGGUGCGCGACUGCCUUCUGGAGGCGGUUAUGAUCGUAAGAACUAGGAGGCCAGAAACAAUUCCAUGACUCCCCUGCCUCCUCCAACCAGCUGCUUGGCACUAUGGUAGUGCUCCUAUCUUUGAAUUCGACGACCUUCCACACCUGUGCCAUCUGUCAAUGAGAAGACAAGGAAUUAGGAUUGGUGAAGAAGAGGGAUGGCAACAUAAUGGUCUUGGUCUG